rnacentral:lncRNA from 1 species
AAUAUCCAGGAUUGGAAUGUAUAAAGGAUGGCCAGGGAAAGAUGGCAUCUGAGAAAAGACCUGAAAGAAGUGAGGAAAUGAGUUAGGCAAAUACCUAGGAGGACAAAAUGCCAGGCCAAGGGAACAAGUACAAAGGCCUGAGAUGAAAGCUCACCUUCUAUGUUCUAGGAACAAUAAGCAACCCAGUGUGGCUGGCAUGGAGUGAGCAAUGAAGAAAAUAAUGGGAGCUGAAAGCAGAGAGGUAACAAGGGGCUAAAUCACAUAGGGAUUUGUAGAUCAUUUUAUGGACUUUAGCUUUUUAAGUAAGCUGAAAGCCACUAGAGAAUUUUGAGCAGAGAAGGAAAAUGAUCAAAAUUUUUAUCAGGAUACUNNNNNNACAAGACUGAGCAUAAACCAAAGAAGGACAAGCAAAGAAGAAAGACCACUUAUAGGUUAUUGCAGUAGCCCAGGCAGGAAAUGACAGUGCUGUAGACUGAGAGGCAAUAGCAGUGAAAGUGAUAAGAAAUGUUCAGGUUCUGGGUACAUUUUAAAGGUAAAGUUGUAAGAAUUUGCUCACAGAUUAGAUGCACAGUGUGAGAAGAUCAGAAGACUCAAGGAUGACUUUUACAGUUUUUGAUCUGAGUCAAAUUUGCACGUAUGGCUAGAAGAAUGGAAAAUGGGAUUAAUUAAAAUUUCUAGGACUGGGACCCUUUGGAACACUGACAAAUAGGGCAUGGGAAGAUAAAGUAGAGAGAUGCAAAGGUAGUAGCAAGAAGUAGAAAAAGAAUGAGAAGACCAUGGUGCCAUGGAGGAUUAGGAAGGAAAAUCCUCUGGAGGACUGGGCGUGUGCCUCUCCUCUCAGAGUACGACUCUCUGAGACCAGAGACAAACCUCCUCCAUCAGACAGGGGCUUUCUGAGAUUCCUCAUCAGCCUUGGUCUCCUGAUCUAGUAAUUUUUAUUCUCUAUCUUCUUGCUUUAAGUGGGGACCAAGUAGCUAACUGGGGCUUCCCAGGUGGUGCUAGUGGUAAAGAACCUGCCUGUCAAUGCAGGAGACAUAAGAACUGUGGUUUCAAUCCCUGGAUUGGGAAGAUCCCCUGAAGGAGGGCAUGACAAUGUAUUCCAAUAGUCUUGCCUGGAGAAUCCUGUGGACAGAGGAGCCUGGAGGGUUACAGUCCCUAAGGUCGCAAGGAGUAGGACACGACUGAAGAGACUUAGCGCACACACAAGUUGGUGACCACCUACUCCUGAGCCAGCCUGCUAUGUCCCCCCAGCCUCCAUGGAGGCAACUCAUCCUUAAGAAAUGGAAAAAUGGGAUUUAUGUGGUGGUGCAAUGGUAAAGAAUCCGCCUGACAACCAGGAAACAUGGGUUUGAUUCCUGGUCCAAGAAGAUCCCACAGGCCUUGGAACAACUAAGUUCGUGUGCUACAACUAUUGAGUCUGUGCUCUAGAGCCCUGCAAGCUGCAACUACUGAGCCCACGUGUGGCAGCUACUGAAGCCGGCUCACCCUACAGCCUGUGCUCCACAACCAGAGAAGUCACCCCAGUGAAAAGCCCUCCCACUGCAACGAAGAGUAGCCCCCACUUGCCUCAACUAGAGAAAAGCCUGACAGCAGCAAAGAUCCAGCACAGUCAAAAAUAAACAAAUAAAUUAAAAGUAUUUACAAGAAAAAAAGAAUCCACCUGCCAAUGCGGGGUCACAGGUUUGAUCCCUAGUCCAGGAAGACCCCACAUGCUGUGGGGCAGCUUAAGCCCUUACGCCACAACUACUGAACCCCACACACCUAGAGCCUAUGCUCUGCAGAGAGAAGCCACUGUGAUGAGAAGCCUGCACAUCACAACUGGAGAGUAGCCGCAACUCGCCCAAACUAGAGAAAAACUUCACACACCAAAGAAGACCCAGCACAGCCAAAUCAACAAAUAAUAAAUCUUUUUUAAACAAGAAAUGGAAAAGCAUAGAGAACUGCAUUCAGUUUACCACGAUAAACCAUAAUGAAAAAAGAUAUUACCAAAAAAAGAAUGUAUAUAUAUAUAUAUAUAAUGUUUAUAUAUACAU